rnacentral:rRNA from 1 species
GACGAACGCUGGCGGCGUGCCUAAUACAUGCAAGUCGAGCGCAGGAAGCUGACGGAACUCUUCGGAGGGAAGGCAGUGGAAUGAGCGGCGGACGGGUGAGUAACACGUAAGGAACCUGCCUCAAGGAUUGGGAUAACUCCGAGAAAUCGGAGCUAAUACCGGAUAGUUCAACGGACCGCAUGGUCCGCUGAUGAAAGGCGCUUCGGCGUCACCUUGAGAUGGCCUUGCGGUGCAUUAGCUAGUUGGUGGGGUAACGGCCCACCAAGGCGACGAUGCAUAGCCGACCUGAGAGGGUGAUCGGCCACACUGGGACUGAGACACGGCCCAGACUCCUACGGGAGGCAGCAGUAGGGAAUCUUCCACAAUGGACGAAAGUCUGAUGGAGCAACGCCGCGUGAGUGAUGAAGGUUUUCGGAUCGUAAGACUCUGUUGUAAGGGAAGAACACGUACGAGAGGGAAUGCUCGUACCUUGACGGUACCUUACGAGAAAGCCACGGCUAACUACGUGCCAGCAGCCGCCGUAAAAC